rnacentral:rRNA from 1 species
AUUGAACGCUGGCGGCAGGCUUAACACAUGCAAGUCGAGCGAGCGGCGGACGGGUGAGUAAUGUCUGGGAAACUGCCUGAUGGAGGGGGAUCACUACUGGAAACGGUAGCUAAUACCGCAUACCAUCAGAUGUGCCCAGAUGGGAUUAGCUAGUAGGUUGGGUAAUGGCACACCAAGGCGACGAUCCAUAGCUGGUCUGAGAGGAUGACCAGCCCGACUGGAACUGAGACACGGUGCAGACUCCUACGGUGGGCAGCAGUGAGGAGUAGUGCCUAAUGGGCGCAAGCCUGAUGCAGCCAUGCCGCGUGUGUGAAGAAGGCCUUCGAGUUGUGAAGCACUUUCAGCGAGGAGGCGUUACUCGCAGAAGAAACACCGGCUAACUCCGUGCCAGCCGGGGCGGUAAUAC